CGGAGGCUACCGCUAUUGGAGUUCGAUUAAGCCAUGCGAGUCGCGAGUCUUAGGGACUCGGCGUACCGCUCAGUAACACGUGGGUAACCUGCCCUAUGCUGGGGAAUAACCUCGGGAAACUGAGAAUAAUGCCCCAUAGUUCACCACGCCUGGAACGGUGGGUGGAUGAAAGCUCCGGCGGCAUAGGAUGGGCCUGCGGCGUAUCAGGUCGUAGGGGGUGUAAUGUACCCUCUAGCCAUCGACGCGUACGGGUGUUGGGAGACAUUGCCCGGAGAUGGAUUCUGAGACACGAAUCCAGACCCUACGGGGUGCAGCAGGCGCGAAAACUUGGCAAUGCGAGAAAUCGUGACCAGGGAACUCCAAGUGCAUCGGGUAAGACCGAUGCUUUUCUUGACUCUUCAAAGGUCUUGGAAUAAGGGGUGGGUAAGGACGGUGCCAGCCGCCGCGGUAAUACCGGCGCCUCAAGUGGUAGUCGCUUUUAUUGGGCCUAAAACGUCCGUAGCCGGUUUGGUACACUCGUGGGUAAAUCAAGGCGCUCAACGUCUUGAAUUCUGCGAGCACGGCCAGACUUGGGACCGGGUGAGGUGUGGGGUACUCUCAGGGUAGGGGUAAAAUCCUGUCAUCCUGAGAGGACCACCUGUUGCGAAGGCGCCACACUAGAACGGAUCCGACGGUCAGGGACGAAGCCUAGGGGCACGAACCGGAUUAGAUACCCGGGUAGUCCUAGGUGUAAACGCUGUGGACUUGAUGUUGGGAGUGCUCCGAGCACCCUCAGUGUCGAAGCGAAGGUGAUAAGUCCACUGCCUGGGGAGUACGGUCGCAAGGCUGAAACUUAAAGGAAUUGGCGGGG
rnacentral:rRNA from 1 species